rnacentral:lncRNA from 1 species
UAGGGGCACCUAGAGUUUCUCGUCCGCUCCUCCCGGGGUUGGGGGUGGGGUAGCAGGGUUAUUCAUAGAUGAUAUGUGUUUACUGUACGAUACUAUGACUUGUUAUUGUAUUUUGGUAUUUUGUUUCCUUUGUUCUGAUUAUUUCUAACGCUAUUUAUGCUGGAAUUUCUAUUGCACUAAUGAUAUACUGUUUCUAUUUGUUUUACUACUGUUUUUCACCUAACCCUAUGAGCCGAGGGUCGAUUGGAAACAGCCUCCCUGCCCUGUCGGGUAGGGGUAAGGCUCGUCUACAUNN